GCUUCGGUAUCCCAGAGUCCUCCUCUUUCCUUCCCAGGCGUCCUCGGGCGCCCUUUCCCCACGUGUACACCUCGCCAUCUGACGGCAGGGAAGACGAGAGGAAAAGAGGUUGGCGCAGAAAACGCACACGCGCAGAAGGCAAGCGAAUACUUCUCGUUCGUUGGUCAUGGCGAGAACGUGGGACGCGCCGCACGACACCUGCACCAGCUCGUAGCCGAGGAGCGCCUCCACGAUCUUGGGCUGAGUGGAGGAACGGAGCAGACAGGUGGUGAAGAGGUCGCCGCAGGAAACGGACUUGAUGGUGACCCCGGACUGACCCUCCAGGAAGCGCGAGAUGAACUGCGGCUGCGUCUGCUCCACCGCGCCGGGCAGACUGACCUCGGCGGACGCCACCGAAGGCGCCUGCCGACAUCACAAACGACAACUUACUAAAUGUUUCCCGACAAGAACACCGAGGGCGAGUCGGCGAUGAGGCGGCCCGACUUGGUCACGCCCAUCUUCUGCGUGCGCCCCAGCGACACCUGGAGCACCUCGGUGUUGAGCAUGGGCAGACGCAGCGGGGCGGAGAUGCCGCUGCCCCACGUGUACACCGCCG